CUAUUUAAAAAAAUUCUAAGUAACAUUUCUUUAGACUUGCGUAAUUUACAAAUGAACCAGCUCUAUUAGGUAGUUCAUUUCGGGAAACCACUAAAUUUGAUUGUGGACUUGAUUUCUUUUGAACAUAUUUAGACUUUGGAACAUAUAUUGUUAUCCAUUUAUUUUCGGUGUCAUCCUCUAGCAAAAAGAGGAAUGCUUUCAAGGUAGAUUCUGUGCAAAUUACAUAUCAGAUGCAUUUUCUUUUUGCUUUUUUGGAUUUCUAGUAAACUAAAAUUCUUUUUGGCAACAUGGCGUUUAAGCCGUCAUACAAAAAUCGUGUCAAGACUGUCGUAUCCGCAAUAAAAACCACUUUCCAUUGGGGUUUUAUGCCGCUGAUAAUCUAUUUAGGCUUAAGAACUGGGGCUGAGCCAGGUAAGCCUGCAUUAAGUGUGUGGAGCUUGCUGCCAUUCCAUUUUUAACAAUUAAGGAUAUCAUAGUAUAAGUACAUGUAAGCGGUUGUGGAAUGAAAUUAUAUUAGGAUUGGACUAUGAUUGGAAUAUAAUAGCUUGAAGGGGAUGACAAGGUAGCUGAUUUAGUUAAUUUUCACCUUAAAAAUUUUUGAUUCUUUAUUGUACACAAUGACAUGCCUACUUUCAAGGAAUCAAAUAUAAAUUAAAAUAUUUUUCAAACUCAAUAAUAAAUAAAAAUAUAAAUACAAAUCU